UCUCUCUCUCUCUCUCUCUCUCUCUCUCCUCCCACUCUUAUUCUCUCUCCACUCGUUCUCUCCACCUGUCUUCUCUCUCUCACUCUCUGUGGUUGCUUAAGAAAAGGGAUUCCUACUCUGGCCUCUGACGAUCGUUGCUGGUUGGCGACUGCGACGGUGCUAAUCGAGAUAGUGGUGAGACUGUGCUUUUCUUUGACAGCUGUGGUGGUCCGGCGAUGGUGAUGGCUGUGAUGUUGAGUUGGUGGUGAUGUUGGAUGAGUUCUGGAUUUGGUUCUAGCAUUGGGCUGGAGGAGGACGAUGUGGUUUGUGUGUGGGAUGGCAUGGGUGACGGGAUCUGAUGGUUGCAAUAGUGAGGGACGGCCGGUGGUGUUGCGCUUGCUAUGGCGAUUUUGUCCUGUGACGUUGUUGUUGUAGGGUGGCGGUGGUGGUUCUGGCGACGAUACUGUUGAAAG
rnacentral:lncRNA from 1 species